GGAAACACAUAUGUUUGGAAGGUUGACAAGCCUCUGGAAGAUCCUACUAUUUUGAAAACUCACGAUGGUGAACUUACAGCAGUUAACUGGUGUAGCUCCGAAUUUGGCAAAUUCGCAACUUGUUCUGAUGACUUUACAGUAAGCGAAUCCAACUGUUUUCUUAUUAAUUUAACUUAAAAUUUAUUUGACUUUAAUCCAGACAUUGCAUUUUA